rnacentral:misc_RNA from 1 species
GAUGAAGAACGCAUCGAAAUGCGAUAAGUAAUGCGAAUUGCAGAAUUCAGUGAAUCAUCGAAUCUUUGAACGCACAUUGCGCCCGCUAGUAUUCUGGCGGGCAUGCCUGUCUGAGCGUCAUUUCAACCCUCGCCCCCGGCUUUUGCUGGGAGCGGUGUUGGGGAUCGGCCGCCCGUCACUGGGAGGCCGGCCCCGAAAUAGAGUGGCGACCACGCCGUGUGCUCCUCUGCGUAGUAGUAAAUCACCUCGCAGGCGGACAGCGGUGCGGCCUGCCGUAAAACCCCCAACUCUUUCUGGUUGACCUCAGAUCAGGUAGGAAUACCCGCUGAACUUAAGCAUAUCAAUAAGCGGAGGA